UAACUUACAUCUAUAAACGCCAGGGAAUUACGAGCUACGCUUAAAACCCAAAGGAUUUGACGGUGUCCCACCCACCUAGAGGAGCCUGUUCUAUAAUCGAUAAUACCCGCUAUACCCAACCACCUCUUGCUAUUCAGUCUGUAUACCUCCGUCGAAAGCUUACCAUGUGAACGCCUACAGUGAGUACAAUUACCCCCAACGUCAACACGUCAGGUCAAGGUGCAGCUUAAGGGGUGGAAAGAAAUGGGCUACAAUUUCUAAUCUAGAACAAACGAAAGACUAUGUGAAAUCAUGUACUGAAGGCGGAUUUAGCAGUAAAAAGAAAAUAGAGCGUUCUUUUUAACCUGGCUCUGGGACGCGUACACACCGCCCGUCAC
rnacentral:rRNA from 1 species